GGGUAAUGGCCUACCAAGGCGACGACGGGUAGCCGGCCUGAGAGGGCGACCGGCCACACUGGGACUGAGACACGGCCCAGACUCCUACGGGAGGCAGCAGUGGGGAAUAUUGCACAAUGGGGGAAACCCUGAUGCAGCGACGCAGCGUGCGGGAUGACGGCCUUCGGGUUGUAAACCGCUUUCAGCAGGGAAGAAGCGAAAGUGACGGUACCUGCAGAAGAAGUACCGGCUAACUACGUGCCAGCAGCCGCGGUAAUACGUAGGGUACGAGCGUUGUCCGGAAUUAUUGGGCGUAAAGAGCUCGUAGGUGGUUGGUCACGUCUGCUGUGGAAACGCAACGCUUAACGUUGCGCGGGCAGUGGGUACGGGCUGACUAGAGUGCAGUAGGGGAGUCUGGAAUUCCUGGUGUAGCGGUGAAAUGCGCAGAUAUCAGGAGGAACACCGGUGGCGAAGGCGGGACUCUGGGCUGUAACUGACACUGAGGAGCGAAAGCAUGGGGAGCGAACAGGAUUAGAUACCCUGGUAGUCCAUGCCGUAAACGUUGGGCA
rnacentral:rRNA from 1 species